rnacentral:rRNA from 1 species
CUACGGGUGGCAGCAGUGAGGAAUAUUGCACAAUGGGGGGAACCCUGAUGCAGCAACGCCGCGUGGAGGAUGACGCAUUUCGGUGUGUAAACUCCUUUUAUAUGUCAAGAAAAUGACGGUAGCAUAUGAAUAAGCACCGGCUAACUCCGUGCCAGCAGCCGCGGUAAUACGGAGGGCGCAAGCGUUACUCGGAAUCACUGGGCGUAAAGGACGCGUAGGCGGGUUGGAAAGUCAGGUGUGAAAUCCUACAGCUUAACUGUAGAACUGCACUUGAAACUUCUAAUCUAGAGUAUGGGAGGGGGAGAUGGAAUUAGUGGUGUAGGGGUAAAAUCCGUAGAUAUCACUAGGAAUACCUAAAGCGAAGGCGAUCUCCUGGAACAUUACUGACGCUAAGGCGUGAAAGCGUGGGGAGCAAACAGGAUAGAUACCCCGGUAGUC